GACGAACGCGGGCGGCGUGCCUAAUACAUGCAAGUAGAACGCUGAAGGAGGAGCUUGCUCUUCUGGAUGAGUUGCGAACGGGUGAGUAACGCGUAGGUAACCUGCCUGGUAGCGGGGGAUAACUAUUGGAAACGAUAGCUAAUACCGCAUAAUAUUGAUUAUUGCAUGAUAGUCAAUUAAAAGGUGCAAUUGCAUCACUACCAGAUGGACCUGCGUUGUAUUAGCUAGUUGGUGAGGUAACGGCUCACCAAGGCGACGAUACAUAGCCGACCUGAGAGGGUGAUCGGCCACACUGGGACUGAGACACGGCCCAGACUCCUACGGGAGGCAGCAGUAGGGAAUCUUCGGCAAUGGACGGAAGUCUGACCGAGCAACGCCGCGUGAGUGAAGAAGGUUUUCGGAUCGUAAAGCUCUGUUGUAAGAGAAGAACGAGUGUGAGAGUGGAAAGUUCACACUGUGACGGUAUCUUACCAGAAAGGGACGGCUAACUACGUGCCAGCAGCCGCGGUAAUACGUAGGUCCCGAGCGUUGUCCGGAUUUAUUGGGCGUAAAGCGAGCGCAGGCGGUUAGAUAAGUCUGAAGUUAAAGGCUGUGGCUUAACCGUAGUACGCUUUGGAAACUGUUUAACUUGAGUGCAAGAGGGGAGAGUGGAAUUCCAUGUGUAGCGGUGAAAUGCGUAGAUAUAUGGAGGAACACCGGUGGCGAAAGCGGCUCUCUGGCUUGUAACUGACGCUGAGGCUCGAAAGCGUGGGGAGCAAACAGG
rnacentral:rRNA from 1 species